rnacentral:rRNA from 1 species
CCGCGUGAGUGAUGAAGGUCUUAGGAUCGUAAAGCUCUUUCGCCAGGGAUGAUAAUGACAGUACCUGGUAAAGAAACCCCGGCUAACUCCGUGCCAGCAGCCGCGGUAAUACGGAGGGGGUUAGCGUUGUUCGGAAUUACUGGGCGUAAAGCGUGCGUAGGCGGAUUAGAAAGUAUGGGGUGAAAUCCCAGGGCUCAACCCUGGAACUGCCUCAUAAACUACUAGUCUAGAGUUCGAGAGAGGUGAGUAGAAUUCCGAGUGUAGAGGUGAAAUUCGUAGAUAUUCGGAGGAAUACCAGUGGCGAAGGCGGCUCACUGGCUCGAUACUGACGCUGAGGUACGAAAGUGUGGGGAGCAAACAGGAUUAGAUACCCUGGUAG